GUACGUAUGCACACAUACUAAAAUUGGAAUGAUACAGAGAAGAUUAGCAUGGCCCCUGCUCAAGGAUGAUAUGCAGAUUUGUGAAGCAUUCAUAUUUUAG
rnacentral:snRNA from 1 species